UCUCCUGGCCCAGGGCCGGGGACCCUCCUGUGGGCUGCUUCCCUGCCAUCCUGGUGAGCUUACCUGAGAGGACGUUCUGCAACGAUGGCUUCUUGGAUGAGCUCCGACUCCAGGUUGUCAAUAUGGAACUGGCCGGUCUGCUCUCAGCAGCAGAGAGCGAGGUGUGAAACACGGGCUGAGUAAUCCCGUGGUGACACGGGGCAGCAGCACAAAAUUCUGUGGACAACCUUCCGUCAGAGGCAGCUGCAAGGCUCUGCUGCCAUCUGCUCCAGGCCAUGAUCUCAGAGAAGGAUUUAGCAAGUGUGUGUCAAUGAUGCUUUGAAGAUUCGUUUUACUCAGCGAUGAGUGAAGUGGCGGGACGGUCCAGUUGACUUAAUGAGCACUUGAGGAACAGAGAUUUAUUCAGCCCAUGGGAGAAAUGGUGCUGGGAUACACUUGCUUGCAGAUAGAUCUGGUAAGCAUAAGUAUGUACCAUGAAAUACUUGGGCUA
rnacentral:lncRNA from 1 species